rnacentral:rRNA from 1 species
UACGUAGGGGGCAAGCGUUGUCCGGAUUUAUUGGGCGUAAAGAGCGUGUAGGCGGCCACACAGGUCAGCUGUGAAAACUCGAGGCUCAACCUCGAGACGUCGGUUGAAACCGUAUGGCUAGAGUCCGGAAGAGGAGAGUGGAAUUCCCGGGUGUAGCGGUGAAAUGCGCAGAUAUCGGGAAGAACACCCGUGGCGAAGGCGGCUCUCUGGGACGGUACUGACGCUGAGACGCGAAAGCGUGGGGAGCAAACAGG